AGAGACAGCAGUAGCCGCGGUAAUACGUAGGGUGCAAGCGUUAAUCGGAAUUACUGGGCGUAAAGCGUGCGCAGGCGGUUAUAUAAGACAGAUGUGAAAUCCCCGGGCUCAACCUGGGAACUGCAUUUGUGACUGUAUAGCUAGAGUACGGCAGAGGGGGAUGGAAUUCCGCGUGUAGCAGUGAAAUGCGUAGAUAUGCGGAGGAACACCGAUGGCGAAGGCAAUCCCCUGGGCCUGUACUGACGCUCAUGCACGAAAGCGUGGGGAGCAAACAGGAUUAGAUACCCCUGUAGUCCCUGUCUCUUAUAC
rnacentral:rRNA from 1 species